AUGUCAGGGUGGGGGACAGGUGUAUUCUGCAGUGAGCCACGUCCCAGGCUGUCCACCCCAGAGCCCCACCAGAGGGAAUGGUGGUCCUGCACAGCCUGGGACCCAGGUUUCCUUCCUAAAGACAGCAGAGUGACAGGGAAGGUAGUGACCGAGCUGACAGCACACCUUCCCUCAGCUGCCCAGAUCUCACCUGUGGCUGGGGCUGCCACGGGGCUUGCAGUGACACAGGGAAUCACCGUCCUGCCGAAGGCACACCCGUGUCAAAUCCCAGCGAGCAGAAAACCUCUGCUUCUGAGCAGACAGGUAAAUUUUAUCUCAAGACUCUACAAGAACAUCAGGGCUUCUGCCAGAGAUCUUCAACAGAUCUCUGUAUUCCUGUUUCAAUUUCUUCUUUUUUUUUUUUUUUUUUUAAUUAUUAUUAUUUUUCUUACCCCAACUCAUUUUGCUCCCACUUUUAACAGCAUUUCCUACAUUUUUCAAGAUGCGAUAGUCUGGCUUCCUGAUGACCUAUCACAAGACAAAGUUGGGUUGCUUAUCAGUGAAAGGUACCUUGUCAGCCAACUCAGGAGCAAUGUUAUAUCUAAACGGAAGCAGACAAAAAGCCAUGGGGAAUAGAAACCAAUGCUGCAAUGGUAUUAAAGAAGAGUCUGUUGUGUCAACAGGGACGUGGGGGAGGUGAAGUUGGAGGUUUUGGAGUUAGCUGUGGGCUUAGUGUAUAACUUAUUCUGUCUAACACUUGCCAUGAAAUAUCCUAACAAUACUCAGGCACUAGUGGUAGCAGAGAUAUUAUCACUUGGGGAGACAACAGAAAUGGCCUUAUCAUUUUGACAAUAGCUUUUUUCCCUUAUUAUCGCUAAGUAACAAUAUCUCUAUUUCACUGCGACUACUGAGCCAUUGUUUUUUGAUAAAUAGGGUCCUUUUUGUGAUUUCUUUUUUUCUCCACUUGUAUUUUAUCCUUUGUGUGUGUGCAUGUGAACAGACUUAAAAAAAAAAGAAAAAAAAAGUUCCACCAAAUGGUGCAAUAUUAAAGAUUACAUCUCUUAAAAGCCAAAGAAGCUGUCAGAGGGGGUAUCUGCUUGAAUGUACUGCCUGAUGUUAAGGGAUUUGUGGUGCACCUUGGCUCAAAGAAAGUCCAUUUUACCUGUAGGGUCUCUACACCUCUGCAUAUGUAAGAGCUAGAGUAGAUAAGAGAUGUUAGGUCCUAUUUGUUGGUAGGAUGUCAUAUUUCAUUAGAGAAUAUCCAUAACAAAAUAUGUACAUUUUGGCAUACAGUUCACCAUGUCCUCUGGUUCCCAUGUUAAGAAAGGCCCCGUCUCCUGCAGGUCUGUAUCUCAGGACCACUCACAUCUCUUGCCAACACCGACGAUUGCCUUCACCUCACCUUGCUCCCAAAAUGUCUCACCUGAUGGGACCAGGGCCCAUCGUUCCCCACCGCCUUGGUGAGCUGAAAGAACUGCACACCCUGAGCAGGAGUUGGGUCUGUGUGCAUCUCAGUCUAUUAGCUAUGGUGCAUGGUGACGUCUGGAAGCGUUCACACUCGAGUUAGCUGAAUAUAUCUCCUCAUUUAUCGCCACUUCUCUUUCUGUUCCUUUCUCCUGCCCAUCCCCAUGGUGUCCAAGCACCGCUGUCUACCUGACUUGCCACGAUUGUUACGGAUUAUCACCCACCUGGGCUACGAGCGUGCUCUGCCAUUAACCACUCAUCAUCCACCGUGGCUCUGUCUGGCUACUUCUUUCUUCUGAUACCAUCAGCUGCCACUGUCUGUUCUACGCACAAUAGAGAACCUUCCUACCCGAGCCCAUUGCUAUGGUUACAGGCAUCCUGCGGGCGGUGGGAUCAACGGGAGCCAUAAAUGAAGGUACUACUGCAGCAUUUGCAUAAAGGCUCCCUACCUGCUGGGGAACAUCCAUGUCCUCCAGAAUGACUCCCACGAGUUUCUGUCGCUGCUGCUGCAAAUUUGCAUGGAUGGACUGGGACAUCAGGGCUCAGUUUAUACUUCCUUGGCUUGAACUCACAGUAAGAACACUUUUUAUAGAGAAGAGAGAGAAAAUUUACCUUAGAAGAUGACAGUCCUCACCUCUCUUAGAUGUAAAAUAAUAAAGAAGAAGGUCAAUUUUCA
rnacentral:lncRNA from 1 species